GCCUGGGUGGCUCAGUCGGUUAAGCAUCUGACUUCGGUUCAGGUCAUGAUCCCAUAGUUCGUGGGUUCGAGCCCCACUUUGGGCU
rnacentral:tRNA from 1 species